rnacentral:lncRNA from 1 species
AUGUAUUGCUUUAUAUUAUACAUCUUUUUAUUUAUAUAUAAUAUAUAUAUACUAUACACAGGCAGUAACACUGCAGGGGAGGGGCAGGGAAACCCAACUGUGCUGCAUGGGGUGACUGAGCUAACCUCUGGGACUCAUUGUCUCCUCGUCUCUCCCGAGGCUGGAGUUAAGAUUCCUAAAAGGCCCCACCCAUCUGUCCUGCAUUCUCAGGGUCUCGCACAUGCUUAUAAGGGUACAGGGUGCUGGCAGUGUCAAGUGCAGAGACUUAUUCCUAGGGAGCCAUCAGGAACAAAUGCGGGGGGGCACAGGGGGUAGUGAAAUUAGUUGGUGAAUAGCAUGUGUGCAUGGGAGGGAGAAACCUUGUGCCUGGGACUUGUCAGGACACUGGAGCUAUAACCCCCUCUGACACCUCCUGUUGUGAAACGGCCUCUAACUCAGGGUCCCCACAUGCUCUGUGUGCACGUGGGUGGGGGGCCAGAAUUGUUUCCUCAUUUCCAGUAGGGAGCCUGCAACCCUGUUAAAAAGCCACCAACACCACAAAGGGAAAUGCCCCCUAAUUGUUCUACUACUCAGAGACCCUUGUCCUCUUCUCUCUAGCUCCCCCAGUCCCUCGUUCAUCAGGGCUGAAGAUGUUACAUUGAAAAAGAGUUCGCUGCUCCCACCAGGCAAAAGCAAAGCCAGGAACUGAGCCACCAGAGUGGGCAAACCCUCUAGGAACCACUGCAAGCUCCUGCUUGCCAUGCAGACAUGGGCCAAGGGACAGAGAACAGGAGCAGAGGGACAGAGAGGUGGGGAAUAACCUGAGACAGGAGCAGACUGGUUCUUCAGCUGCCUGGGAGGUGCCUGUCCUGACAGGGGAGGUAAUGAGCCUGGCCGAGUUCCACCUCAGAGCAGAUAGGGGGUCCCUCGGUGUUUUGAGGGUAGCAGGGUGUAAGGGGGAAAGGUCUCUUUACUGGCCAGCUCUAGAUGUCUUUAGGGACCCUCCCAGCUGUGAUGGGAGAGGGGACAUUAAAAUAGUCCCAUGGUACAAACCAAAAUAAAAACAUCCCCUCCCCACGGGCCGAAC